CACGUAGGGCGCAAGCGUUGUCCGGAAUUAUUGGGCGUAAAGAGCUCGUAGGCGGUCUGUUACGUCUGCUGUGAAAACCCGGGGCUUAACCCUGGGCUUGCAGUGGAUACGGACAGACUAGAGGUAGGUAGGGGAGAAUGGAAUUCCCGGUGUAGCGGUGAAAUGCGCAGAUAUCAGGAAGACCACCCCUGGCGAAGGCGGCUCUCUGGGACGCUCCUGACGCUGAGACGCGAAAGCGUGGGGAGCGAACAGG
rnacentral:rRNA from 1 species